AUACAACAUUGCAAUAGGUCCAUUUGCGGAUCAAGGCUUUUGGGGAGUAGUUCCAUUCAUUCCAUUACUAGUGUA
rnacentral:tRNA from 2 species